rnacentral:rRNA from 1 species
CCCUUAGAUGUUCUGGGCCGCACGCGUGCUACACUGACCGGCGCAACAAGUUUCUUUCCUUGGCUCGAUAGGCCUGGGUAAUCUUUGAACGCCGGUCGUGAUGGGGAUAGAUCCUUGCAAUUUUUGAUCUUCAACGAGGAAUUCCUAGUAAAUGCGAGUCAUCAUCUCGCGUUGAUUACGUCCCUGCCCUUUGUACACACCGCCCGUCGCACCUACCGAUUGAAUGGUCCGGUGAAGCCUAGGGAUUGCGAAUGCUUCGUGCGGACGCGAGAACUUGGCUAAACCUUACCAUUUAGAGGAAGGUGAAGUCGUAACA